UAGAAUAGCAACAUUAUACCACUUUUCAUUCAUUUAAUGUAUUCAGACUGCAAUUACUUACAAAAUUUAAGACAAGGAAAUGAGUGUGUAGGGGGAUAUGUAUCAGCUAAUGUGAUUCAUUAAGUACAGGUGGGUGAAAUAUGUUCACGUACAGCAGCAAGGAUGAGGUGGCUUUAACAGGCCUUCAGCAAUGAGAUGGGUGCUGGUACUUGACAAGGUGAAUACUGGCCAGCACUAUUAGAAAAACGUGAGUUAAUCUAGGACAGCUCCAUGCACCACAGAGGAUUUCCAGUUUCUAUCUUCCGGACCAAUUUUUGGAACUAUUUCAUCUACAAGAUAUGGUCGGCACAAGGACCAGCAGCGUAGGCCAGACAUGAAUGAACUGUGCCUGGAAAUGAGAAGCAGGCUCUUAGUGAUUAGAGCAAUCAAAUUGCAGAGAAUAGGAGGAAAAACACCCUUAACACUUUUAAGAUGCAGCACACUAAUUGAGUAAGCCUCAGUUCAGAGUGCUCUGUUGUGCUUUACAUUCUCAUGUCCAGCCGCAAUGCUGACUGGAAAUUGCAACACCAGUGUGUCAAACUGAAUGUACGUGAUUCACCUUUCACUGAAAGUUGUUUAUUAUACAACCGGAUAGAGUCAUCUUAUUUUAUAAGAUCAAUUUUUUCAUAGCCAGUCUCCGACAAGUUAUUGUGAGCUCUCACUGUCUUAAUCAUCUGUAACUUUGAAUCAUGCUUGAGAUGACUUCUAUUCAGAUGGCAAAGUGUAGGAACCGAGGACAUCACUGCUAUUCUCAAAUAAAUCAUAGCACCAGGAUCAGGGAAACAAAAUGUUCUCAAAACAUAAAUCUCCUUUGGAUUUAGAAUUCAGGUAACACUAAUUACAACACAAAUAACCCUGCAAAUACUUUACAUAUUUGAAAUAAUGAUAACAAAGGCCCCAACUGCCAUAACUGUACCGUUAGAGUAACGGUAACAUGACCUUCUCAACAGGAACUUAGCCAAACAUCUUUCCACCUUUCCUUCAGAGGGAGGAUUUAGUCCUCAGAAUUACUUAUUAUAUCCAGAGCAUUUUUAAUAGUAGGAUGAGAAAUGAGUCCCAUGCCCUCACAGCCAAAUGUGGGACACUAUGUCAUGGACAAGGAACAAGUCAGCUUUCAACAAAUGGAACUGCAUCAGCAGAGGGCUUUCAGACUGAAGACCCUGCAGAUCCAGAAGAGAGUAAACAGUUUUACCUCAACCCACAAGUUGUACUUCUUUUUCCCCCACUCUCUCAUCCAACCCACUGGGAAGGGGGAGAACGAGUGAACGACUGUGUGGAGCUGACCACCUGAACCACAGCACCUCCCUUCCUGCAAGGAGACGAAUGGAAUGAGCUGAUAAAGGUGAAUGCACUUAAACAGAAUUGCACAGUCCUCCAUAUUUUUACAGAUCAGAUGCCUAAUAAAAAGGGAGAUACUGGUUUAUUGGUGUUGAAAAUACAUGGGGACAUUAGCAGCCAUGUUCUUCUAUAACUGCAUACUGCUCCACUUAUACAGGAGCUGCAUCUACCUUGAAGGAAAUCCUUCCAAUCGUUGUAGAGAGAAGCGUUGCAAUAUAACAAAACAUUUAAGCACGUACACCAAUAUAUAGUUAGAUGCAUCAAAGUAAAGCACUGCACUGAGCAAGUACAGAUAUACUCACUUCCUGUAUUUUUUAUCAGCAGAAAUACGCACAUAAGGUACAGGAAUAUGCAAGCAGUCCUUGAUGCAAAGAAUUCAAUAUACUUUCUGCAGGUGUGUACGAGAUAAGACUCCAAACUCUGACAAAGAGCUUGAGAAAUAACAAAACUCAACAAAAAGCCUUUAUCUAAUUUUGAA